AGUGGGUAGUGUAUUUCCAUUUGGCAACAUUUCAUUCAACAACGUCAACAAUUCUGUAAAACUCUUAUCAGUCCAUCCAUUGCUCGCCUUCAAAUUCAUGAGCCUUAACACAGCUGACAAACGUGUGAACUUAGUUGAACCGAUAUACAAAGGUGUUUCCGCAUCAGUGGACAUCGUGUCAUACACAUGAGCUUUGGAAAAAUAUUCUGCGCCAACAUCGCGGAUCAUGUCCUCCAAUUUGUCUUCAUCCGGUCGAUCUUCUUCCAUGGUGGAGUCAGUAACAUUUUCAGUUUGCGAGUCAGUCGGAAAGUAUAUUUCUUUGCCGUGCCAUAUCCAUGUUGUAUAACAUCUUAGGAAACCAUCACAGAUAAGAUGUUCUCUAAUUUGGGUUGCGUUCAACUUUCUCCCAUUCAAACAGUUCACACAAGGACAUCUAAACUUCACUUCAUCAUCACUUCUCCCCUCAUUACGUUGCGCAAAUUGUAUAAAUUCCUCUACACCUCUCUCGUACUCAACAC
rnacentral:lncRNA from 1 species